rnacentral:rRNA from 1 species
GACGAACGCUGGCGGCGUGCUUAACACAUGCAAGUCGAACGGAAAGGCCCUGCUUUUGUUGGUUUCUCGAGUGGCGAACGGGUGAGUAACACGUGAGUAACCUGCCCUUGACUUUGGGAUAACUUCAGGAAACUGGGGCUAAUACCGGAUAUGAGCUCCUGCUGCGUGGUGGUGGUUGGAAAGUUUCGGCUGUUGGGGAUGGACUCGCGGCUUAUCAGCUUGUUGGUGAGGUAGUGGCUUACCAAGGCUUUGACGGGUAGGCGGCCUGAGAGGUUGAACAGCGACAAUAGGACUACGGUAGGCACCAGUAUCCUACGGGAGGCAGCAGUGGGGAAUAUUGCGCAAUGGGGGCAAGCGUGAUGCAGAAGCGCCGGGUGCGUAAUGACGGCCUUCGGGUUGUAAACAGAUUUCGCCUGUGACGAAGAGUGAUUGACGGUAAUGGGUAAAAAAGCACCGGCUAACUACGUG